UACGGAGGAUCCAAGCGUUAUCCGGAUUUAUUGGGUUUAAAGGGUGGCGUAGGCGGCCUAUUAAGUCAGGGGUGAAAGACGGUAGCUUAAACUAUCGCAGUGCCUUUGAUACUGAUAGGCUUGAAUGAUACUUGAGGUAGGCGGAAUGUGACAGUAGCGGUGAAAUGCAUAGAUAUGAUCACAGAACACCAAUUGCGAAGGCAGCUACUAAAGUAUGAUUGACGCUGAGGCGCGAAAGCGUGGGGAGCAAACAGGA
rnacentral:rRNA from 1 species